GGGCAUGGCAACCCACUCCAAUCUUCUUGCCUGGAGAAUCCCACAGACAGAGAAGCCUGUCGAGCUACAGUCCGUGGGAUCGCAGUAAGACACAACUGAAGUGACUUAGCUUCAGCACGUGCUCUUAAGACCUCUAAAGAUAAGAGGCGGCUGCCUUCUCCCAGCUGCGGCAGGACUGCCAAAGCUCCCUCCCUCCUAGCGGCUGGCAAUACCACCAGCUUCCCCGCAACCUUCUCCUCCCGUGUCCAAGCAGGAGGAACUGUCCCCAUCCCUGGGGCUCGAGUGAUCACUCUGGGUCACCGUCUCUCACUCACGACUCCUCCAGUUCCUUCAUUCCUCCCGUCUGCACCUUUCCACCAGCCAAGAGGGCGCUGGAGUUUUCUUCUCUGGAGUUUGUGCUCCCCAAACCACAGACACCACUACAGCGUCCCACGAAAGGGUACCUGCAUCCACUCAGUCGCUCAAGCCAAUGACCUUGGAUCAUCCUGGAAACCCUCUUUCUCUUAUCUCCCAUCAACAAAAUCUGGGCAUCCCAGAUCUCAGUCCCAGUGUCCUAGGCCCUCUUUCCCUGUUAGUUUUAUGCAAAGCAUCCCAGGGUCCUCUGCUAGAAAUGGGCUGCAGCCCAAAGCCCCCUCCCAACCCUCCAUCCCUGAAGCCCCUCUCCUCCAGGAAGCCUGACCUGAUGCAUCAACAUAGCCCAGCAGCCAUGCCUCCUCCAGGCCAGCCCAGGAGACACUCCCGAGAUACAGAUCUCACCUAGCUGGGAGGAUGGGUGUGUUUGGGGCUUACUCCCCUCCCAGUCCCUGAGGGUAGAGCUCUGAGACCAGGUACAGGAGAGGCCUGCUGUGCAGGUCUGAAUUAACCAGCAGGAAGCACCUGGAUUCGAAUCCUUGCUCCACCAGCAGCUAGCAGUGUUGACCUUGGAAGAGACAUUUCACCUCUGAUAACUACAACGGAAGGAGUCCCACAGCAGGAAGAAGGAGGAGGCGAGAUGGACUAGUGGCAACACGGGGCGCGGCCUGAAAGUGGGGUGCUGGGCGAAAAAGACACAGAAGAAGAAAUACAGCAGGAGCCUCUGGAGAAAGCAAAAAUCCACCACACAGAGCGAACAGUCUGCCAGGGCACUGAACGAUCUGCCAGGGCAGAGGGCCAGGGAAGGGGAUGGGAAUAAAAGGGGAUUUUAUACAGACUUAUAAAUCUAUACC
ensembl:lncRNA